GCAGUGGUAGUUCAGUGGCAGAAUUCUCUCCUUCCAUGUGGGAGUCCAGGGUUUGAUUCCUAGCCAGUGUA
rnacentral:tRNA from 1 species